rnacentral:rRNA from 1 species
UACGUAGGGGGCGAGCGUUGUCCGGAUUCAUUGGGCGUAAAGCGCGUGUAGGCGGUUAGGUAGGUCCGAUGUGAAAACUCGAGGCUCAACCUCGAGAUGUCGAUGGAAACCUCUGGCUAGAGUCCGGAAGAGGAGUGUGGAAUUCCUGGUGUAGCGGUGAAAUGCGCAGAUAUCAGGAAGAACACCUAUGGCGAAGGCAGCACUC